ensembl:snoRNA Gm24681 predicted gene, 24681
AGGCACUGCACAUGUAGAUGCUAUGUCACAUGUGCAGGCAGAGGAGAGCAGCUAUGUUUAUGCUCAGUGUCCUAACCUGUUAACAUCUGAGUAACUAGUUUAACAUU